UGUAGUUCAGUUCUACAUUGACCAGACAGACCUUCCCACACUUCCCACCAACACCAGUGGCUGAUACAUAGCGCUCUCCUUGAUGUCUCCAACAUUGUUGACAGCCAUAAUUUCUGCUCAGCUUGAAUUUACUUUCAUCAGAGAACAACACUGAAGCCCAGUGGUCCCUCAACCAGCAUAAAGGC